GAUGUAAAAUGGGGAUGCUAACAGCAUGUUUAGAACAGUGUCUGGCACAUAGUAACCAUUAUGAGGAGAUGGAAGAUUGAGAGCAGAGUGCAAGAAUGGGAAGAGGGCUUCGUGCCCUGUGCACGUUUGCCACCUAGUGACCAAACUGAAUGGUGUGCUUCUCACCUCAGCGUGAUAGCCUGACCUUGACUCCUGAGUUCCACGAUCGCUUCACAACUGCAAGUCACCAUCAUACAAAAUUUGAGUUUCCCUAAGUCCGCGCCUUUGAGAGCUUUGGAACGAUAUGCAAGUUCAAGUCACCAUCCUGUUUCUUGCUACCUCCUGUGAGAAGACCAACAUUUGGGUUACACUUGUUUCUACUCUUGUUCUUCUGCUUGUUAUUGUUGCCUCUGCAGCCAUUGAUCACACACGUGUUGUCAUACAAAAACUGGUUAGCCUUUUUAUUUGUCUUGUGAAUUUUAUCAUUUGGUUCUUAAGUAUUACAAAUUAAUAUUGUGUACUCUCAUUGAUAUACAACUUGCAGUCAUUGUAAAUAUGCGUGAGUUAGGGGUGAGAAUGGCAUGCAAGCAAAAGAACAAGGAGAGGGAUGAUAGAGAUGCAAGAAGAGUAAAGAGGGCAAGAAAGUUUAUGUUAAUAGCGAACACAAUGAAAGUUCUUUAAAUGCUUGAUAAUGGUGAAAGCAACACUUCCUAGGGCAUAUUUUUGGUGUUAAUGAACCUACACAUCAUACAAUAAAGAAAAUUGAGAAAGCAGUUGGGGCCAGUGAAUCGGGGGCACACAAGAAUCACUGAGAAAAUCAUACACAACUCAAAAUGCCACAAUAGGGAAAAUAUAAAGAGAUUUGCACUUGUGGCUUCUAAAACAGAGAAGGUUGAAUAGGUCUCUUUCUGUGUGUAAAAUCUGCCAGUGAGCAUCACAAAAAUGCAAAUUUAAAUUUCAAUCUGGAUGGAAAGUUAUAAAAUUCAUUGCAAGUAAUGGGUGGUUGGGUAGGUUUAAGAAAUGCCAGGUGGGUGGAUCACUUGAGGUCUGGAGUUUGCAACUAGCCUGGCCAACAUGGUGAAACCUUGUCUCUACUAAAAAUACAAAAA
rnacentral:lncRNA from 1 species